AUGAACGCUGGCGGCGUGCCUAAUACAUGCCAGUCGAGCGAACAGACGAGGAGCUUGCUCCUCUGACGUUAGCGGCGGACGGGUGAGUAACACGUGGAUAACCUACCUAUAAGACUGGGAUAACUUCGGGAAACCGGAGCUAAUACCGGAUAAUAUAUUGAACCGCAUGGUUCAAUAGUGUAAGACGGUUUUGCUGUCACUUAUAGAUGGAUCCGCGCCGCAUUAGCUAGUUGGUAAGGUAACGGCUUACCAAGGCAACGAUGCGUAGCCGACCUGAGAGGGUGAUCGGCCACACUGGAACUGAGACACGGUCCAGACUCCUACGGGAGGCAGCAGUAGGGAAUCUUCCGCAAUGGGCGAAAGCCUGACGGAGCAACGCCGCGUGAGUGAUGAAGGUCUUCGGAUCGUAAAACUCUGUUAUUAGGGAAGAACAAAUGUGUAAGUAACUAUGCACGUCUUGACGGUACCUAAUCAGAAAGCCACGGCUAACUACGUG
rnacentral:rRNA from 1 species